UGGGGAAUUUUGGACAAUGGGGGAAACCCUGAUCCAGCCAUCCCGCGUGUGCGAUGAAGGCCUUCGGGUUGUAAAGCACUUUUGGCAGGAAAGAAACGUCGCGGGUUAAUACCCCGCGAAACUGACGGUACCUGCAGAAUAAGCACCGGCUAACUACGUGCCAGCAGCCGCGGUAAUACGUAGGGUGCAAGCGUUAAUCGGAAUUACUGGGCGUAAAGCGUGCGCAGGCGGUUCGGAAAGAAAGAUGUGAAAUCCCAGAGCUUAACUUUGGAACUGCAUUUUUAACUACCGGGCUAGAGUGUGUCAGAGGGAGGUGGAAUUCCGCGUGUAGCAGUGAAAUGCGUAGAUAUGCGGAGGAACACCGAUGGCGAAGGCAGCCUCCUGGGAUAACACUGACGCUCAUGCACGAAAGCGUGGGGAGCAAACAGGAUUAGAUACCCUGGGUAGUCCACGCCCUAAACGAUGUCAACUAGCUGUUGGGGCCUUCGGGCCUUGGUAGCGCAGCUAACGCGUGAAGUUGACCGCCUGGGGAGUACGGUC
rnacentral:rRNA from 1 species